rnacentral:rRNA from 1 species
UACAGAGGUGGCUAGCGUUGCUCGGAAUCACUGGGCGUAAAGCGCACGUAGGCGGCUUACUAAGUCAGGGGUGAAAUCCUGGAGCUCAACUCCAGAACUGCCUUUGAUACUGGUGAGCUUGAGUCCGGAAGAGGUGAGUGGAACUGCGAGUGUAGAGGUGAAAUUCGUAGAUAUUCGCAAGAACACCAGUGGCGAAGGCGGCUCACUGGCCCGGUACUGACGCUGAGGUGCGAAAGCGUGGGGAGCAAACAGG